AAACUAUCAUAUAAGAGUACUGUAUCAAAAAAUUUUAAGUAGCUAACUAUAUCACAAAGUCAUAUUCAUCAAGAUUGAUAUUGUUUGCAUCAAUCUUUGAUAUUUCAUUUUCUUCUGAAUUCAAACGGUCAUCCUCCAAUGCAGCAAGAAAAUCAUCCCCAACAUCCACCUCUCUAUUAUCAUCAUCAAUCUCUUCUAGUUCUUCCA
rnacentral:misc_RNA from 1 species